UACGUAGGGUGCAAGCGUUGUCCGGAAUUAUUGGGCGUAAAGAGCUCGUAGGCGGUCUGUCGCGUCUGCUGUGAAAACUCAGGGCUUAACCCUGAGCUUGCAGUGGGUACGGGCAGACUAGAGUGCGGUAGGGGAGACUGGAAUUCCUGGUGUAGCGGUGAAAUGCGCAGAUAUCAGGAGGAACACCGGUGGCGAAGGCGGCCCACUGGGCCGGGUGC
rnacentral:rRNA from 1 species